UUCUGAAUAGAGGAACAGUGGGUAAUUUAUUUAACAAUUGUUCAAAGUUCACGCUGGGAGAUGAAGACAUAGACAGCGGAGUAAAAGCCCAACCAUAAUAUUCGUGGGCCUACUCAUUCGCUCUGAUCAUAUGUUUUUGUUCUUUCAUAGGACUUGCAUCAAAUGUUGAUAUAACUUGCAGUUCAUGACUUUUAUUUUCUUCUCUCUUUUUCUUUUUUCUUAAGCAAUAAUUUUCAAUCCAUGCUAUUGUUUAGGUUAUGUGAUUUAGCUUCCCACAAUCGACUAUGUAAUAAUUUGUAUUAUCCAGCCAAAUGUGAAAUCAUCACCAAUUAGCCCUACAAUUUCCCCAGCUCGGUCGAACGAUAAAUAUUUGUCUCG
rnacentral:lncRNA from 1 species